rnacentral:rRNA from 62 species
UUGACCUCGGAUCAGGUAGGGAUACCCGCUGAACUUAAGCAU